rnacentral:tRNA from 1 species
CAACUUUUAUAGGAUAGAAGUAAUCCGUUGGUCUUAGGAACCAAAAAAUUGGUGCAACUCCA